UGGGGAAUAUUGGACAAUGGGCGAAAGCCUGAUCCAGCCAUGCCGCGUGUGUGAAGAAGGCCUUAUGGUUGUAAAGCACUUUAAGCGAGGAGGAGGGUACUGGUAUUAAUACUACCAGGUACUGGACGUUACUCGCAGAAUAAGCACCGGCUAACUCUGUGCCAGCAGCCGCGGUAAUACAGAGGGUGCGAGCGUUAAUCGGAUUUACUGGGCGUAAAGCGUGCGUAGGCGGCUAAUUGAGUCGGAUGUGAAAUCCCCGAGCUUAACUUGGGAAUUGCAUUCGAUACUGGUUAGCUAGAGUGUGGGAGAGGAUGGUAGAAUUCCAGGUGUAGCGGUGAAAUGCGUAGAGAUCUGGAGGAAUACCGAUGGCGAAGGCAGCCAUCUGGCCUAAUACUGACGCUGAGGUACGAAAGCAUGGGGAGCAAACAGG
rnacentral:rRNA from 1 species